rnacentral:tRNA from 1 species
AAGGUUCUAGUAAAUAAAUUACAUAGCUCUGUCGGCGCUAAAUUACAAGCUAAAAACCUGUGAACCUUC